rnacentral:sRNA from 1 species
UCAACAAAAAUGUUUACGGGUGUGGGCC